rnacentral:lncRNA from 1 species
CUCUGUGUCCUGCAGAGCCCAGGCCUUGGUGCCUUUUUACCUGCCAGCUCCCUUUGCCCCCUGACAUGCUGCCAGGUGGUUGCUUAGCAACCUCUCCAGCCAGCUUGAGCAUCCUGGCAUAAAUUGCUGUUAGGCACCGGGAGAGAGUUUUUUUUCCCUCCUCUCUCUCUUGUGUUUUAAGCAAAGAGACAUCCUAAAAUAGGGCAUUUUUUUUUUCCUGUUCCUUUUUUCUGUGUGUGUGUGACAGACAACUCCUGUGUAAAUGUUGAAAUCUGUGUUGUCUGUCAGGAGCAGUCAAUCUGAAAACUUUGCUGAAGAGAAUGUAUAUUUAGUAACGGGUGACAAAGAGAGGAAGACAUUGAGAUGUCAAUUAUUCUGUCUUCCACACUGUGUCUGGCGCCAUAAAAACUUUGCAGAGGGAUGCGUGAAAGGAGAGAUGGAUGGAUGGAUGUCGGGAAGUGACCUGAGAUCAUCCUGUCCCACCUGAUGUGCCCAAGGUGAUGCCACUUGGCAGAGCUGGCCUGAGAAACCGCAGUGCUGGGCUUCAGGUCCUGUGGCUUUGCUGGUGGAGGUCAUCGAGAGGACAUGACAGCCGGUUGACCUUCAACCUGAACCAAGGCAACUGGAGGCCCCUGCCCCCCUCCCCUUGGAAUGUCUUUGAAUUGUCUGCUCUGCCCACCGUUCCACAGUGGCAGCUGCUUUUGAGGAUGCAGCCUUGAGAGAGUAUGAUGUAUGCGACUGAACCCGUUCAGGCCUCUCUGUCAACUUUUGGAGACUGUGCUGGGUGGAAGCAGAGGUCCACCCAUCUUGAAGCAGGAGACAAGCCCCUCUGGGAGCUCUCUACUUACACGGCCUGUCAUCUACCCGUCCGGAGUGGCUGCCUCUUUCUUCCUUCUUUCCCUGCCCUCCAGGCACGAGGGCCAGUUUGAGAACCAACAGGCUUUGCCACUGUAGCUCAGCCUGACAUCUUUUAGCAAAAGACGGAACACAGCAAGUUUGUGUACAAUGCCAUCUCUGAAUAUGGCAAAUACCAACAGAAAGGGGUGAGUAUGUGGGUACUUUUCCCCUCCUAGUUAAUAAUUUAUGGCCCCAAACAACAUUCUGUUCUUACACGUAAUGCAAAAAUAGAGGCUGACUUUGAUAAUUAACCUAUUGCUUUUAGCUAUGGUCGUGCAAAAAUAUCAGAAGGAAAAACAUGCUGGGAUCUUCAGUCUUCUCUCCUUGUUUGCCUUCCUCUCAUUGAAACCUGGGUGUCAAAUUAUCUGCCUUUUCUUUCUGUCAAAAAACAAAACAUUUGCCCGGUUAAUCUCUGCCCUGAAUUUUGUUGUUCUG